rnacentral:rRNA from 1 species
UGCCUUGUACAGCAAGGAGGAAGGUGGGAUGACGUCAAGUCAGCAUGGCCUUUAUGCCCUGGGCUACACACACGCUACAAUGGGCGGUACAAAGGGCUGCGAACCCGCGAGGGGGAGCGAAUCCCAAAAAGCCGCUCUCAGUUCGGAUUGCAGGCUGCAACUCGCCUGCAUGAAGCCGGAAUCGCUAGUAAUCGCGGAUCAGCAUGCCGCGGUGAAUACGUUCCCGGGCCUU